rnacentral:rRNA from 1 species
ACACGAAGGGGGCAAGCGUUGUUCGGAUUUACUGGGCGUAAAGCGCAUGUAGGCGGCUAAUCAAGUCGGAUGUGAAAUCUCGGGGCUCAACCUCGAAACUGCAUUCGAUACUGGUUGGCUAGAGUUCGGGAGGGGGUAGCGGAAUUCCGCGUGUAGCAGUGAAAUGCGUAGAUAUGCGGAGGAACACCAGAGGCGAAGGCGGCUACCUGGACCGAUACAGACGCUGAGAUGCGAAAGCGUGGGGAGCAAACAGGAUUAGAAACCCCGGUAGUCC